UACGAAGGGGGCUAGCGUUGCUCGGAAUCACUGGGCGUAAAGCGCGCGCAGGCGGUCUUCCAAGUCAGUGGUGAAAGCCCGGAGCUCAACUCCGGAAUUGCCAUUGAAACUGUUGGACUUGAGGAUGAGAGAGGUGAGUGGAAUUCCGAGUGUAGAGGUGAAAUUCGUAGAUAUUCGGAAGAACACCAGUGGCGAAGGCGGCUCACUGGACUGGUAUUGACGCUGAGGUGCGAAAGCGUGGGGAGCAAACAGGG
rnacentral:rRNA from 1 species